rnacentral:rRNA from 1 species
AUGAUCCCGUCCUUGGUUUCAUUUCCCAGGAUGUCGUCAGUUACCCGGAGUUCUGUUGCUCAUAGCCUGAACCACAGAGAUGGUAGGGAUGAGGAUCCCCCUGAUCAGUCUUCGUUGGCAAAGUUCAUGUUAGAGGUUGAGAUGAACAAGCAUGAGAUCAAUCGUUUGUUGGAACAGAUUGAGCAGAAGACCUCACAUCGGCGUAAUGAGUUGGUUUCCAUUACCGACUUCAUUGGUUUGAACCCACCCACCUUCCAUCAUUCCAUUGAGCCACUCGAUUCCGAUGACUGGCUCCGUAGUAUCACACACAAGCUGCGCUCCAUGAGCAUAGCUGAAGGUGACAAGGUGACCUAUGCUACAUAUCACCUAGAGGGUCCUGCUAGUCUUUGGUGGCAGAACUAUGAGGCUAUGCUUCCAGCUGGUCAGAUUCCUACCUGGAGAGAUUUCACUGAGGCCUUUCGUGAGCAUCACAUUCCUCAAGCCCUCAACGAUCGCAAGAGAGAAGAGUUCUGUAGUCUCACCUAG